AGACUAAGAUAGCUUGGUGGGAGACAGAUUUUACUUGGCUGAUUUGGAGCUGCAGGCCAACAUCAUAAGAGAAGACUGCAAGUGUGUAAUUACAAAUGAGGAGCCUGUCAUCACUCUUGCAAAAGAGCAAAGGGGAUCCUGGUGUGGCUUACUCCGGCAGAAGAAUCCUAAUGUGGCUUUUGACUUUGACCACUGGGAAGAAUGUGAUGAGGACAGAGAGGAGGGCCUGUUCCCUGAAGUUGUAAGUGCUCGAAACCUGUCCUGCAAAGUGGCCGAGGUGACUGAAGACAGUGACAGCAGUGCAGAUGACUCCGAGGACAGUGACAGUGAAUGAAAAUGUGCGUUAAGCCUUGAAGAGCAGCCAGAGGCCUCUGAACAUAGUGGACAUCGCUGAGUGACUGGGAGAGAAGAAAACAAGCAUUCAUAGCCAAGGCUUUUUUUCACCUGAAGGAUAAGACUCUACUAAGUGUUGGCUGGUGGCACUAGGAUGGCUCAUGGUGAAAAACUUUCAGUCCACCUAAAAACAAGUUAUAAAAGAAGAUGCUGGUUGUCAAAUGUGGAAGAAGCAAAGAGUGCAGGACUGGUCCAAGCCCAGGCUGGACCGUGUAUCCCCCUCGCUGCCUCUCAUACACAUCGUGACAAGCUCAGCUUUGCUUUAAGUGGCAGAGAGCAAACCGUGACAUUCUGGUCUGGAGUCGGCCCACAAGUUUUUUGUCAUUUAGACCUACCUUUAUGUUUGGUACAAUGUUCAAAACCUGUCUUGUGCUUGUAAAUGAGGCAGCUGUCUCACAGACGUGGCCAUUGACUGAGUAAAAGUACUGACACUUUUCCUGUUCUCCAGGCACUGCUAGCACUGAGAGAAGUGAGUGCACAUCUUUUCCCAAGGACAUUGUGGGAUGGCUUUAGUGAGGCCAGUGAGACCCAGGCUUAUUCUACAGGUCAAGCUGUGAGUUGCAGACAGCACUGGGGACUUGCAAAGGGACCUUUUAGAGCCUUCAGUGAUACAAACAGCCCUCUACAGCAUAUGAGCUGCAGUUUCCAUGCUGGACUAAGAGGUCUUUUUUGGCAACAUACUGGGAACCUGUGCAGUGCCUGCAGAUAACCUUCAGAACAGAGGGGGUGAUGAGCACCCGUGGUAAGGUUGUAGCACCUGGGAUCCUGAGAGUUCUUGGCUGGCACUUAAGGCAGGAAUAGCCUGGGGCUGGCCUUUCAUCUUUAGAUUUCUUCUCAGAUUUAAAAAAGUACAAAGCUAGGCACUUGGGGCUGAGGCAGGGAAAUCACCAGGUCAAGGCUGACCUGGGCAACUUAACAAGACUUUGCCUCAAAAAGGGAUGGGGACAUAGUUCAGGGGUACAGUAUACCGGAGCUCAACCCCCAGCACCCCACCCCACCCCAAAACAAACCCCUGUGCACUUCCUCAACAUCUGUUGGCUUCCUCUAGAAGUGAAACGGAACACUGACAGAACAUGACAGGUACGCAACCACUGCAAGACAUCUCUUUUUGUCACAUCUCAAAAAGUGUGGGUGCUCAGGCUCCUGUACCUCCCAGGUGACAGCCUCUGCUUGAACUGUGGUAAACACAUAACCCUGUCCCAUGAGCAAGGCUGGGUUCUGCUCUCACUCUGUUUCUUCAUUUGUGAAAUAAGAUGCUGAGCUCAUGCACAGCCUCUCUUCUCCAUAGGCAGUGCCCAGAGUGGUGCUGGGCAGGGACCUCAUCUGGGUGUGUGUGGAGACUCAACAGAUGUCAGACCCCUGCGCUCCAGUGAAUGGUGUGGCCCAGUCUGGUCAGCUGCAGGAGUGAGUCCUUGCUCCCGAGUGACUUUGAUAGGUUGGC